rnacentral:rRNA from 1 species
ACGGAAGGCAGCAGUGGGGAAUAUUGCACAAUGGGGGACACCCUGCUGCAGCGACGCCGCGUGAGUGAAGAAGUAUUUCGGUAUGUAAAGCUCUAUCAGCAGGAAAGAAAAUGACGGUACCUGACUAAGAAGCCCCGGCUAACUACGUGCCAGCAGCCGCGGUAAUACGUAGGGGGCAAGCGUUAUCCGGAUUUACUGGGUGUAAAGGGAGCGUAGACGGCUUUGCAAGUCUGAAGUGAAAGCCCGGGGCUCAACCCCGGAACUGCUUUGGAAACUGUAGAGCUAGAGUGCAGGAGAGGUAAGUGGAAUUCCUAGUGUAGCGGUGAAAUGCGUAGAUAUUAGGAGGAACACCAGUGGCGAAGGCGGCUUACUGGACUGUAACUGACGUUGAGGCUCGAAAGCGUGGGGAGCAAACAGGAUUAGAUACCCUGGUA